rnacentral:rRNA from 1 species
ACGGCCACACCUAGGCGAAAACACCAGUUCCCGUCCGAUCACUGCAGUUAAGCGUCUGAGGGUCUCGUUAGUACUAUGGUUGGAGACAACACGGGAAUCCUGGUUGCUGUAGGUU